ACGAACGCUGGCGGCGUGCCUAAUACAUGCAAGUAGAACGCUGAAGAGAGGAGCUUGCUCUUCUUGGAUGAGUUGCGAACGGGUGAGUAACGCGUAGGUAACCUGCCUUGUAGCGGGGGAUAACUAUUGGAAACGAUAGCUAAUACCGCAUAACAAUGGGUGACUCAUGUCAUUUAUUUGAAAGGGGCAAAUGCUCCACUACAAGAUGGACCUGCGUUGUAUUAGCUAGUAGGUGAGGUAACGGCUCACCUAGGCGACGAUACAUAGCCGACCUGAGAGGGUGAUCGGCCACACUGGGACUGAGACACGGCCCAGACUCCUACGGGAGGCAGCAGUAGGGAAUCUUCGGCAAUGGGGGCAACCCUGACCGAGCAACGCCGCGUGAGUGAAGAAGGUUUUCGGAUCGUAAAGCUCUGUUGUAAGUCAAGAACGAGUGUGAGAGUGGAAAGUUCACACUGUGACGGUAGCUUACCAGAAAGGGACGGCUAACUACGUGCCAGCAGCCGCGGUAAUACGUAGGUCCCGAGCGUUGUCCGGAUUUAUUGGGCGUAAAGCGAGCGCAGGCGGUUUGAUAAGUCUGAAGUUAAAGGCUGUGGCUCAACCAUAGUUCGCUUUGGAAACUGUCAAACUUGAGUGCAGAAGGGGAGAGUGGAAUUCCAUGUGUAGCGGUGAAAUGCGUAGAUAUAUGGAGGAACACCGGUGGCGAAAGCGGCUCUCUGGUCUGUAACUGACGCUGAGGCUCGAAAGCGUGGGGAGCGAACAGGAUUAGAUACCCUGGUAGUCCACGCCGUAAACGAUGAGUGCUAGGUGUUGGAUCCUUUCCGGGAUUCAGUGCCGCAGCUAACGCAUUAAGCACUCCGCCUGGGGAGUACGACCGCAAGGUUGAAACUCAAAGGAAUUGACGGGGGCCCGCACAAGCGGUGGAGCAUGUGGUUUAAUUCGAAGCAACGCGAAGAACCUUACCAGGUCUUGACAUCCGUGUAAAGCCGCAGAGAUGCGGUGUAAGCUUGCUCAAUACGAGACAGGUGGUGCAUGGUUGUCGUCAGCUCGUGUCGUGAGAUGUUGGGUUAAGUCCCGCAACGAGCGCAACCCCUAUUGUUAGUUGCCAUCAUUCAGUUGGGCACUCUAGCGAGACUGCCGGUAAUAAACCGGAGGAAGGUGGGGAUGACGUCAAAUCAUCAUGCCCCUUAUGACCUGGGCUACACACGUGCUACAAUGGUUGGUACAACGAGUUGCGAGUCGGUGACGGCAAGCUAAUCUCUUAAAGCCAAUCUCAGUUCGGAUUGUAGGCUGCAACUCGCCUACAUGAAGUCGGAAUCGCUAGUAAUCGCGGAUCAGCACGCCGCGGUGAAUACGUUCCCGGGCCUUGUACACACCGCCCGUCACACCACGAGAGUUUGUAACACCCGAAGUCGGUGAGGUAACCUUUUGGAGCCAGCCGCCUAAGGUGGGAUAGAUGAUUGGGGUG
rnacentral:rRNA from 1 species